AUAUGGUCAAGUUACCAAGGGUGUAUGGGGGAUGUCUAGGCGUCGAGAGGCGAAGAAGGACGUGGCAGGCUGCGAUAAGCCCGGGGCAGGAGUCAAGCAUCCGCUAAUCCCGGGAUUUCCGAAUGGGGCAACCCGGCAGGGCUGGGCAACCAGACCCUGUCAUCCAUGGUUGAAUGCAUAGGCCAUGUGAAGUCAACGCAGGGAACUGAAACAUCUAAGUACCUGCAGGAAAGGAAAUCAACCGAGACUCCGUUAGUAGCGGCGAGCGAAAGCGGAAAAGCCCAAACCCAGCAUCUACUUUGCUGAGCAAAAUAAAAAUCCGAAAUUAGAAUUUCCCUACUUUGUUCACCAAAGUAGGUGCUGGGGGUUGUGGGCGCCGGCAAGGAGUUACAAAGGCAUCGCCAGCAGAAUCCUCUGGAAAGUGGAACCAUAGAAGGUGAAAGUCCUGUAUGCAAAAGCGAAAGCCCUCCGUUACUGCCGGCGUUCCAGAGUAGCACGGAGCUCGUGGAACUCCGUGUGAAGCUGGGGGGUCCACCCUCCAAGGCUAAGUACUACUCGACGACCAAUAGUGAAAAGUAAGGUGACUGAACGAUGAAAAGAACCCCUUUUAGGGGAGUUAAAAGUACCUGAAACCAUACACCUACAAGCUGUAGGAGCCCUAUGUCCAGCAUCUACUUUGCUGAGCAAAGUAGAAAUCUGAAAUUCCAAGCACGAAAUACGAAACAAAAUCAAAAUUCUAAUGUCCAAAUGUUCUAAACAAAUGUUUUUGUCAUUUGUGUUUUUUGUCGUUAGAUAUUGUUUCGUGCUUCGGAAUUCGAGAUUUGAAUUUCCCCACUUUGCUUGUCAAAGCAGGUGCUGGAAACGGGUGACUGCGUGCCUUUCGCAUAAUGAGCCGGCGAGUUACCAUUUGUGGCGAGGUUAAGCAUUUAAGGUGCGGAGCCGUAGCGAAAGCGAGUCUGAACAGGGCGUCAUAGUCGCAGGUGGUAGACGCGAAACCAGGUGAUCUACCCAUGGCCAGGUGGAAGGGGAUGUAAAAAUCCCUGGACGACCGAACCCACUAACGUUGAAAAGUUAGGGGAUGAGCUGUGGGGAGGAGUAAAAGUCUAACCAAACCUGGAGAUAUCUCGUUCUCUUCGAAAUAGCUUUAGGGCUAGCCUCGAGUAAAUUACUUUGCGGGGGUAGAGCUACUGAUUGGAGAUGGGGGGCCACCAGCCUACCCACUCCUACCAAACUCCGAAUACCGUAAAGUGUACCUCGGGAGUCAGACUGUGGGCGAUAACGUUCAUGGUCAAGAGGGAAACAACCCAGACCGCCGGCUAAGGUCCCAAAUUCUUGCUAAGUUACUAAGGAAGUCUGAUUGCCGUGACAAUCAGGAUGUUGGCUUAGAAGCAGCCACCAUUUAAAAAGUGCGUAAUAGCUUACUGAUCGAGCAGUUGGGUGCCGAUAAUGAACGGGAAUAAGCAAGAAACCGAAGCCGCGGUGCUACACUUACUUUGACAAUGUGCAGUCUGGUCAUAUGUAUUGCGUCAUGCAUCGUACGCCGUACGUAAUGCAUCAUUUGAAAUACGCGAUACGCAUCACACAUCGUGACUGUAUUUUGUCAAAGUAAGUGCAGCAGGUAGGAGAGCGUAACUGUCAGCACUGAAGCGGUACGGAAACGAGCCGUGGAGCGGCAGUUAGUGAUUAUGCCGGCAUGAGUAACGAUAAAGCAGGUGAGAAUCCUGCUCGCCGAAAGCCUAAGGUUUCCUGGGGAAGGUAAAUCCGCCCAGGGUUAGUCGGCCCCUUAGUCGAGGCUGAAAGGCGUAGACGAUGGACAGCAGGUUAAUAUUCCUGCACCAUGUAUCGAAGGUUAUAACUGUGGGAGUGACGUAACGACAAGGGCUGGAAGCUGAUUAGUCGUGGCUAUCGUGCCUGCGGCGUGGCCGGCAGGUAAAUCCGCCGGCGUAAUCGCCAAUGGACCGCGAGGGGCGAUUUGUGAUCCCCGAGCAGUCGGAGUCGUUACCGAGAAAAACUUCAAACAGGACGACGAUGCAUGACCGUACUAAAACUGACACAGGUAGGCGAGGAGAAUAUCCUCAGGCGCUCGAGAGAACCGUCCUUAAGGAACUCGGCAAAUUGACCCCGUAAGUUCGCGAUAAGGGGUCCCUCCAGGCGCAAACGAUUAUUCGAAUGCGUGCUGAGGGCGCAGUGAAGUGGCUCUGGCGACUGUUUACCAAAAACACAGUUCUCUGCUAACACUUAAAGUGGAUGUAUAGAGAAUGACGCCUGCUCGGUGCCGGAAGGUUAAGAGGAUGGGUUAGCCCCUUCGGGGGUGAAGCUCCUAAUUGAAGCCCCGGUAAACGGCGGCCGUAACUAUGACGGUCCUAAGGUAGCGAAGUUCCUUGUCGGGUAAGUUCCGACGUGCAUGAACGGCGUAACGACUGGAGCACUGUCUCAAGGACGGACUCG
rnacentral:rRNA from 1 species